CUGGGAGAAAAAUGCAUUUCUAAAAGUAAAGUUGAACAAACCAUGGUUUUUCCGUCCUUUGCAAUUAGUAUCACCCCUUUGGACAAUAUAUAAUGUGUUGAUUUACACAUUUCAAGAGUACUUUAUAGCAUCCAUUGGUUGUAUUUCGUUAAUAAGGUUAUAGGUUUACAUAAAAAAAGAUCUGACUUGAGAAAACAUGAGAAGCAAGGUCAUAAGGAAGAUCAGAGUGCCUCCACAAAUCCAAUAAUGGUGACAGUUGGGCAAGUGGGAGCCAGAUGGAGUGGGGAGAGAUGGCCUCUGUAAGGCAAACUGACACAUUUCUAAAUGCUAAGUAAUCCACAUUUCAAUUCUCUCAAAUGGCACAUACUAAUUUUUAUAAAUGGCAUGUUUAUAAAUGCCUUUAUUACAAAACAAAAAGCUCUAAACUAUCAUCAUGAAGGUACAAAACACACAAGGAAUUAAUACAGUCCCAAAUCUAUGUGAGAUAGACAGACCAUAAUCAUAUUAAGCCAAUCCAAUGUGGCUAAAAUGCUGUGACAGCCUGGAGAAAGAAGCUAAGCUUUGCUUGGGGGCCUUGACAAGGACUGCACAGAGGAGAGGACACUGCAUCAGGAUUGCAAAACAUAAGUAGGCGUCACGGAGGAGGAAAUUAGGGGUUCUGGGGAAAUUGUCCUUUACUGAACUUGCUCUAGAUGUCAUCCUAUGAGAUUGUGGUAAAUGUUUCAUAAAUAUUGUCUUACUUGAACCGCAUAACUACUACAUGGGUGGAUAUUUUAUCCCCAUUUUACAGGUCUUGAAAUUAAUGGUCAUAAAUAGCAAAGGCUCAAGUUUACGCAGUUAGCUAGAGGCAGAUGUGACCUCCAAAUCGAGGACUGCAUGACCGAAGUUGUUCCCAUUUCAAAACAUGCUCUGAUGACAUUCCAGGAAAAGAUCCUACAGUGGCACAGUUACGACAUUUUGGGACAGAAUGCCUUAGAAUGUCCGGGAGACCCAACCUGCCUUGGAAACCAACUGAUGAGACUGCCUCAUGUCAAUCUUGCUGUGAUUUUAUUCCUUUGAGCUUGCAGCAAAUGACUCUACUGGAAACCGUCACUCCUUUGGAUUAGGACCAAAGCCCUGUGGUAUAAUUGAAGAGGAUAAGGAAGGGGGCCCUUCCUCGGAUAUUUCCCCACUUAAGAGAUGAUUUAUCUCAUCAAACAGGAUGGAUGUAAAAGUCUAUCCAUGCUUUCUCCACCUCACAGCUUUCAUGACUCAUUCUGGACUCACCCUAUGUUCUGUCACGUGAAACAUUUCAAGGUUGUUCCCCUAGCAAUCUUAUUCUUUGCUCUCUCUUGCUGAAGCCUUUCCACAAACUCCCAACUUGGAUCAAUCCUUUUUGCUCUCCUCCAUCUGAGUGUAGGAUUUUCCCAUGAGGACUCCGUAAUUCUUGGUGAUUAAUACAUAGAGAGGUCUUAGAAGUGUUGGGAGGGAGGUGAGAAAGUGUUGUAUGUAGGAAAGACGUGAAUUGUUGUGGUAGGAUGUCUGCAAAUAUGGCUGCCAGUUCCUCCCAUAUCUGUGAUCAUAUGCCACUAAGUCCUCGAGUGGGGAGCCUAUUCUCCCUUCCUAUAGAAUCUGGACUGACCCUGUGACUUGCUUUGACCAGCCGAAUACAGAGAAGGUAAAGCUGUGUGAUCUCAGAUUUUUAGGUUUUAAGGGACACUGUUGGCCUGUUGGGAUUCAGCACCAUAUAAAGAAACUUGAGGCCCCUCAGCUCCCAGAAUUUCUAGUCACUCGAGAGAUAAAUCACCAGAUAUUGAGAGUAAAACCAUCUUAGAAGUUCAGUCCCAAUCAAGCACCCUGUUGAAUGCACUGCAGAAGUGACUUCAGUCAAUAUCAUGAGUAGAGUGAAUAAACCAACCAGCUAAGCCUAGAGGAUCCA
rnacentral:lncRNA from 1 species